rnacentral:rRNA from 1 species
UCUGGGUGACGAGCGGCGGACGGGUGAGUAAUGUCUGGGAAACUGCCUGAUGGCGGGGGAUAACUAGUGGAAACGGUAGCUAAUACCGCAUAACGUCGCAAGACCAAAGUGGGGGACCUUCGGGCCUCACGCCAUCAGAUGUGCCCAGGUGGGAUUAGCUGGUAGGUGGGGUAACGGCUCACCUAGGCGACGAUCCCUAGCUGGUCUGAGAGGAUGACCAGCCACACUGGAACUGAGACACGGUCCAGACUCCUACGGGAGGCAGCAGUGGGGAAUAUUGCACAAUGGGCGCAAGCCUGAUGCAGCCAUGCCGCGUGUGUGAAGAAGGCCUUCGGGUUGUAAAGCACUUUCAGCGAGGAGGAAGGGUAAUGUGUUAAUAGGACAUUGCAA